ACUUAGCCAUUCCUAAUUUAUCUCAAGCAUAUUCAAUUCAUCUUCACUGCUCUAUGCACACAGGAACACCAGAUUGCCGUCCCUGGGGAACAGAAUGCAACCGGGGAUCUAGAGAGCUGUCACAUUCCAAGAAAUAUUUAAAUUGUGCUGAUUUUCUUCUGGAGAACUGAGCCCAGGGAAUGAAACUCUCCAUCAAGUCAGAGCUUUGCGGGCAAUAGAUCAGAAGAUAUUGCCAGUUUUCUAAUGGAUUAUUGUUAUCGGGCAGGUUUUCUCUGAAGCUUCUCAGCUGCUGUUACAUCCUUCUUGGAUGGGGACUGGAGAUCAGCCAGAUCAGUUGUAUGCACAAAGCCGCUUUGGGUCUGUCUUUUCAAACAAGAGCUGCAGAAAACGUUAUAGCAAGGUUGAAGCUUUAUUCCACUUCGACUCACCCAGAAAGCACAAGCCUGGUUUUGCAUGAGAAGGACUGUUAACCUAAAACGUGAGUACUGUUGAUUUCUUUUAUUUAAUUCUACCGUGUGCUAUAUAAGACCUUGUGAUAU